GGCCACACACACACACAUUCAUAAAACAGUCACCUCACAUGCCAUGCACACACACUCAUAAAACAGUCACCCUACAGGCCACACACACACACAUUCAUAAAAUAGUUGCCCCAUAUGCCACACACACAUCACACACACACUCAGUCACCCCCACACACCACACAUACACAAACACACACAUAAAAUAGUCACCCCACAGGCCACACACACAUAAAAUAGCCACCCCACAGGACACACACACAUAUAAAAGUCACCCCACAGGACACAGACACACAUGCGUAAAAUAGUCACCCCAUAUGCACCACACACACACACUCUCUCUCUCUGUCACUCCACACACCACACACACACCCACACCCACUGUCAUAAAAUAAUCUCCCCACACCACACACCCUCAUACAAAUGACCCCACAUACCACAUAUACACAUAAAUAGUCACCCCACUCACACACUCAUAAGUCACCCACACACCACACACACACGCACACCCAUAGUCACCCCACACACCACUCACACACAUGCUCAGUCACCCCACACAUUCAUAAAAGUCACCCCACACGCCACACAUACACACACACACGCAUAAGAUAGUCAUCCCACACCCCACACACACUCAUAGUCACCUCACACGUCACACACACACUCAUAACAGUCACCCCACAUACCACACACACAUGCAUAGUCACCCCACAUGCCACACACACUCAUAAAAUAGUCACCACACAUGCCACGCACACUCAUAAAAUAGUCACCUCACACACCACACACAGACACACCAGUCACCUCACCACACUCAUAAAAUAGUCACCCCACACAACAGUCACACUCACUCACACAUUCUCACACGCACUCUCACACAUUCACUCUUACACACAUUCUCACACACAUUCUCACACGCACACACACUCUCACACUCACACACCCCACAUUCUUUUCCACCUUUCUCCACAGACGAGGGACAGAGGCCUGGG
rnacentral:lncRNA from 1 species